GAUGAACGCUGGCGGCGUGCCUAAUACAUGCAAGUCGAGCGAACGGACGAGAAGCUUGCUUCUCUGAUGUUAGCGGCGGACGGGUGAGUAACACGCGGAUAACCUACCUAUAAGACUGGGAUAACUUCGGGAAACCGGAGCUAAUACCGGAUAAUAUUUUGAACCGCAUGGUUCAAAAGUGAAAGACGGUCUUGCUGUCACUUAUAGAUGGAUCCGCGCUGCAUUAGCUAGUUGGUAAGGUAACGGCUUACCAAGGCAACGAUGCAUAGCCGACCUGAGAGGGUGAUCGGCCACACUGGAACUGAGACACGGUCCAGACUCCUACGGGAGGCAGCAGUAGGGAAUCUUCCGCAAUGGGCGAAAGCCUGACGGAGCAACGCCGCGUGAGUGAUGAAGGUCUUCGGAUCGUAAAACUCUGUUAUUAGGGAAGAACAUAUGUGUAAGUAACUGUGCACAUCUUGACGGUACCUAAUCAGAAAGCCACUGCUAACUACGUG
rnacentral:rRNA from 1 species